rnacentral:rRNA from 1 species
UACAGAGGGGGCGAGCGUUGUUCGGAAUUACUGGGCGUAAAGGGCGCGUAGGCGGCCCGCUAAGUCGAACGUGAAAUCCCCGGGCUUAACCUGGGAAUGGCGAUGGAGACUGCAAGGCUAGAGUUUGGCAGAGGGGGGUAGAAUUCCACGUGUAGCAGUGAAAUGCGUAGAGAUGUGGAGGAACACCGAUGGCGAAGGCAGCCCCCUGGGUCAAAACUGACGCUCAUGCACGAAAGCGUGGGGAGCAAACAGG